CUCAGCAUUGUGUCACAAAUGCCCAUGAUAGCCAAUAAAAGCUGCACAUCAAAAUUUUCAAGUACACUUUAGAAGUGUAAAGUUGAAUGGUGAUGGAAUGAAUCUGUUCUGAAGCAUGUUAAAUCUGCACAUUUGAGUGCUUUGAUGCCAAUGUUCAUUUUACUUCAAGGUUCAACUUUUUGCCAACCAUUGGCCGGGUGUAAUACUUAACCUUGAUCGCAUGGUCAAGGCCAUCAUCUAAGUCUGUCACUUUCCUGCUGCCGUUUGCUUUUCUCCCAUUGCUGCUUUGCGAUUAGUGCUCAG